GCCUUUCAUGACAUGAAUUCAGGCACAGAAGAAGCUCUGAUGCCAUGGGCCAUGGAUACGGAGUGCAUGUGACCCAAUGCUUUGCAGAUGCCCAAGAUGUUGUUGCCAGUUGAAGGCCUGACGGAGCAAGCAUAAGCCAGAAUCACAAGACUUCUUGCCGCUUCCAAGCAAGAAUCCCACCUUGAUACCCAGUGCUGGAAAAUAUUGUUUGUGGCUCCCGACAUAGAGAAAGACUUUGCUGCAUCUCUCACAUGAUUCUCCCACAUCAUUCAAAGCUGAUAAGAUUCCACCCAAAAUCCUUUGAAGAUUUCGUGGAAGCUUCUGCAUAGUAUUGUUGCUUAAAUUAGUUUGUG